CAAACACGCACAUACACACGCGCAGAGCACAGAUUCACUGUAUUCAAGCUCUCUUUGGCCCCAGGUUCACGGAGCUGUGACCACCUAGACCUGGAGGUCUAACCCAGGUCACAGGGGUGUUCAUACCCUAGUUCGAGGACCCCCAUCUUCAACCAAGUAUGAACACAACUGGGAAUGACAGAGAGCCUCCCGCUUUCACAGGACCCUGCUAUUUUUAACCCCUUCUGCUGCCUGUGCUCCCCGGGAAAUGGAAGCCAACAUCUCCGCCAUGUAGAGAAAGGGAGGCUGAGCGAGAGAGGCAGCGUGCACCGAAUGAUCCGAGCCCGAUAAAAGAAGGUUACCUGUGUGUUUGUCAACAAGAUGAAAUAAAUAAGAGCAAAAAAAAAAA